rnacentral:rRNA from 1 species
UACGUAGGGCGCAAGCGUUUGUCCGGAAUUAUUGGGCGUAAAGAGCUCGUAGGCGGUGUGUCGCGUCGGAUGUGAAAGCCCGGGGCUUAACCCCGGGUCUGCGGUGGGUACGGGCAGACUAGAGUGAUGUAGGGGAGACUGGAAUUCCUGGUGUAGCGGUGGAAUGCGCAGAUAUCAGGAAGAACACCGGUGGCGAAGGCGGCUCUCUGGGCCUUACCUGACGCUGAGGAGCGAAAGCGUGGGAGCGAACAGG